rnacentral:rRNA from 1 species
UACAGAGGGUGCAAGCGUUAAUCGGAAUUACUGGGCGUAAAGCGUGCGUAGACGGUUACAUAAGUCGGGUGUGAAAGCCCCGGGCUCAACCUGGGAAUUGCAUUCGAGACUGCGUAGCUAGGGUGCGGAAGAGGGAAGCGGAAUUUCCGGUGUAGCGGUGAAAUGCGUAGAUAUCGGAAGGAACAUCAGUGGCGAAAGCGACUUCCUGGACCAAUACUGACGCUCAUGUGCGAAAGCGUGGGGAGCAAACAGG